UACGAGGGGGGCGAGCGUUGUUCGGAAUUAUUGGGCGUAAAGGGUGCGUAGGCGGCCUGACAAGUCUGAUGUGAAAUCCCUGGGCUCAACCCAGGGCCUGCAUCGGAAACUGUCGGGCUUGAGUAUGGGAGAGGUGAGUGGAAUUUCCGGUGUAGCGGUGAAAUGCGCAGAUAUCGGGAAGAACACCCGUGGCGAAGGCGGCUCUCUGGGACGGUACUGACGCUGAGACGCGAAAGCGUGGGGAGCGAACAGG
rnacentral:rRNA from 1 species